UACGUAGGUGGCGAGCGUUGUCCGGAUUUACUGGGCGUAAAGAGCGCGCAGGCGGUCGUACAAGUCGCGUGUGAAAGCCCCCGGCUCAACUGGGGAGGGUCACGCGAUACUGUUCGACUCGAAGGCAGGAGAGGGUAGUGGAAUUCCCGGUGUAGCGGUGAAAUGCGUAGAGAUCGGGAGGAACACCAGUGGCGAAGGCGGCUACCUGGACCAGCACUGACACUGAGGCACGAAAGCGUGGGGAGCAAACAGG
rnacentral:rRNA from 1 species